rnacentral:rRNA from 1 species
GACAGAGGUGCCGAGCGUUAGGCGGAAUCACUGGCUUAAAGCGUGUGUAGGCGGGCGAUCAAGUACCUUGUGAAAUCCCACGGCUCAACCGUGGAACCGCUGGGUAUACUGGUUGUCUUGAGCCGGCUAGGGGCGAGCGGAACAGACGGUGGAGCGGUGAAAUGCGUAGAUAUCGUCAGGAACGCCAAUGGUGAAGACAGGUGACUGGGCUCGAUCUGACACUGAGGCACGAAAGCCAGGGUAGCGAACGG